GAGGUGCGGGAAUCAGUUCGUCCUUUUUGGGAUAGAAUACCAUCCGAGACGGGCUUCGGCGGGGCCUGGAACAGUGAAUUUCUAUCACCAUGAUGCAGCUUUUCAUCAAGGCUCAGGCGAGGAUGGAAAGUAGCGGUUGAGCUGAAACCCUGUGAAAGCAAUAAUACUGGAUCCUUCAUGUCAGGUCGGAGUUCAAUCGCCGUUGCUAGAGCCAGCCUGCCAAAAUUCCCCGACUAGCACUCGAUCCGGGUUAUUUAGAAAAGACCUGUUGGGACUUUCAGUUGUGGUGGUGGUGGCCUAGAUGCGGAGUAACGGCAAUUACACAAUUCGGGCACUAGGGGUCCGUUGCUGUGUUCUCGGAAGCGCAGCCUGGUGCGAUCCGAAGAAGCUUUUACCGUUCGGAUAUCUUAUCAGGGUCCUCGAGUGGCUGCGGAAGUUGCAGAUAGGGGGGGACGAGUAUGCCGCCGCAUUACCGUUUCAAGUGCAGCUUGAUCGCGGCCUUCGUGAGGGUUUCGCCGUGUGAUCGUUGGGUCUACGGUCUGAGAAUCUAGACCUGGGGUCUGUAUAUUGGUCAGUUUCUAUGAAGUCGGAAGCUCUCGCCACCAACGUUGUUCAAUCCAGCACACUUCGUUCGCCCUUCGUGAGGGUACAUCCGAUGGUUGCUUGCGUUUUAACUUGCUCCAUCGCUUCAAUCUGGUCAUCACCUCUAUAAUCCUCACGACAACCCACAAGAACAUCAGUCACGGCAAUAAACUUUGCGUGUUCAAAAGGAAGAGGAUUGUACCCCGGAACGAUGUGGGGUGAAUUUCAUGGCAAGCUGCACUGAUCUUUGACCGCGAGGAGUUAAAAAACUUUUACUUGUCCUAGAGACAUGCUUCAACUGACUCAAUUGGUUGUCAAGCAUAUGAUCAAGUGUACAACUUGAAGAGUGACCUUGAAAAUGCUAAGAUUAUGGAGGCUGCAUCAGAAAUGGUUGGGGAUCCAGAUGCAAUGUAAGCAUACAAAGAAUGAAAAAAAGCCAACGCGUCCUGAAACCAGCCUGGAAAACUCUUGAAAGAUUGCAUGUGCAAGCCAUUCUAGGGUGCUGGUCAAAAAAUGAGUGGCAAACGACCAGGCUGACUUAACUUGUCUCCAUGUAAAGUACGAUUGACUGAUUUUCGAAAACCUGCCGAAAUUAUGUCGAUACCUCAACCCCACCUUUUUAUUAUCCACGUCAACCAAUAUAGAGCCUCGAAUUAUGCAAAACAAAAGGGUGCAGCAUUGUGCUGUAAUCUUGAGGUGUACAACAAUACAAAAAUACAAAGGAUUCUGUAACCACUUGUUUUCCCUUCAA